CGGAAGUAGCUCAGUUGGUAGAGCAUCAGCCUUCCAAGCUGAGGGUCGCGAGUUCGAAUC
rnacentral:tRNA from 1 species